rnacentral:rRNA from 1 species
AGUGAACGCUGGCGGUAGGCCUAACACAUGCAAGUCGAACGGCAGCACAGGAGAGCUUGCUCUCUGGGUGGCGAGUGGCGGACGGGUGAGGAAUACAUCGGAAUCUACUCUGUCGUGGGGGACAACGUAGGGAAACUUACGCUAAUACCGCAUACGACCUACGGGUGAAAGCAGGGGACCUUCGGGCCUUGCGCGAUUGAAUGAGCCGAUGUGGGAUUAGCUAGUUGGCGGGGUAAAGGCCCACCAAGGCGACGAAGCGUGGCUGGUCUGAGAGGAUGAUCAGCCACACUGGAACUGAGACACGGUCCAGACUCCUACGGGAGGCAGCAGUGGGGAAUAUUGGACAAUGGGCGCAAGCCUGAUCCAGCCAUACCGCGUGGGUGAAGAAGGCCUUCGGGUUGUAAAGCCCUUUUGUUGGGAAAGAAAUCCAGCUGGCUAAUACCCGGUUGGGAUGACGGUACCCAAAGAAUAAGCACCGGCUAACUUCGUGCCAGCCGCCGCAGUAA